UCCGGUUUGUCACCGGCAGUCUACUUAAAGUGCCGAUUGCUCGUUGCAACUAAGUAUAGGGGUUGCGCUCGUUACGGGACUUAACCCAACAUCUCACGACACGAGCUGACGACAGCCAUGCAGCACCUGUGCACGGACUCCGAAGAGGGGCUCCCGUUUCUGGAAGCUUUCCCGUGUAUGUCAAGCCUAGGUAAGGUUCUUCGCGUUGCGUCGAAUUAAACCACAUGCUCCACCGCUUGUGCGGGCCCCCGUCAAUUCCUUUGAGUUUCAGCCUUGCGGCCGUACUCCCCAGGCGGGGCACUUAAUGCGUUAGCGCCGGCCCUCGGGGGGUCGCUCCCCCAAGCGCCUAGUGCCCAUCGUUUACGGCGUGGACUAC
rnacentral:misc_RNA from 1 species